GAUGAACGCUGGCGGCGUGCCUAAUACAUGCAAGUCGAGCGAACGGACGAGAAGCUUGCUUCUCUGAUGUUAGCGGCGGACGGGUGAGUAACACGUGGAUAACCUACCUAUAAGACUGGGAUAACUUCGGGAAACCGGAGCUAAUACCGGAUAAUAUUUUGAACCGCUUGGUUCAAAAGUGAAAGACGGUCUUGCUGUCACUUAUAGAUGGAUCCGCGCUGCAUUAGCUAGUUGGUAAGGUAACGGCUUACCAAGGCAACGAUGCAUAGCCGACCUGAGAGGGCGAUCGGCCACACUGGAACUGAGACACGGUCCAGACUCCUACGGGAGGCAGCAGUAGGGAAUCUUCCGCAAUGGGCGAAAGCCUGACGGAGCAACGCCGCGUGAGUGAUGAAGGUCUUCGGAUCGUAAAACUCUGUUAUUAGGGAAGAACAUAUGUGUAAGUAACUGUGCACAUCUUGACGGUACCUAAUCAGAAAGCCACGGCUAACUACGUG
rnacentral:rRNA from 1 species